GCGGGGCGGCACAUCUAACCCAUCCAACAUCACGUUUAAGUCGCCGGAAAUUGCAAGAAUUCCGAAUCGAUUAAUUGGGGUUUAAUUUCCUGAAAUCCGCCGGUGUGUGAAUUUGUGGACACGUGGCUUUGCUGUCCAGCUGGGCAAUAUGGCGGAUCCCCCCUACCCCCCAUUCUAAUCAGCUGCUCCCCCCCCUCCUCCUGCUUCAAGUCAGCUGAUACCCGGCCCGACUUAUACUGCCCUUCCAAACAUACACACACACACUCGAACGAACAAACGCAGGAAAUUUCCGGAAAACCUGGUGAACCCACAGUCGACUGUAUAACCAGUAUUUAAACUGUUAAGCUUAGUAAUCCACGACUACAGUUCUAGUCUGGACACCUUGCAUUGAGCCAGACUAUCAUGAAAGAAACUGAAGGAAUGUACCGUACUGCAAAAGAAGACAAAACACUACAUACUCAUUGUACUUCAUCAGGUGCUCUGGAUGUUAUAUACCGGGGGCUUGAUGUAGUACAAGACAACAUGAGUGAUAUUCAUCAUUUUCAUCAACAUCCAACAUUAUAUCUACCAACAUUGUUCAGUCAACCGAUGCCCCAUCUACCAUAUUUCUUCACUUAUUAACCAGAUUAGUCUCGAGCCUGGUUCCGGAUUCGGAAAUACUUGUCCAGAAAUAGCUUUAACUUCUGAUGUUUUUUCUUCAGAAAAAACAACCCACUAUUUUUCAAGAUUUUAGUGAUUCCGUAUUUAAUUAUUCGUAUGUCGACCUUUUUUAUAAUUAACAAAUUUUUUGAUAAAUUUCGCAAUUUUUGUAGUAGAAACCUAUAAAUGGAAUUAUUCAGUGAUCAUUGCGGAUUUAAUGUAUCGUCAUUACUUAAAAGAUGAAUUGUUGUUUUGAAUUAUAAGUUAAUUAUUAAUAUUAGUUACCCUAAGUUAACCAUUUUUGUCAUGUUAUAUAUGUAUGAGAAUAAAUAAAAUUG